GAUGAAGAACGCAGCGAAAUGCGAUAAGUAGUGUGAAUUGCAGAAUUCCGUGAAUCAUCGAAUCUUUGAACGCACAUUGCGCCUUCUGGUAUUCCGGAAGGCAUGCCUGUCCGAGCGUCAUUUCUGCCCUCCAGCCCGGCUGGGUGUUGGGCGCUGUCCCCCCGGGGACACGCCCCAAAGGCAGUGGCGGCGCCGCGUCGGGUCCUCGAGCGUAUGGGGCUUUGUCACCCGCUCGGGACGGACUCGUCGGCGCUGGUCUUCCUCCAGGCGACCCUUCGGGGCUCGUCUUCCUUCGGUUGACCUCGGAUCAGGUAGGGUUACCCGCUGAACUUAAGCAUAUCAAUAAGCGGAGGA
rnacentral:misc_RNA from 1 species